GCCGAAGUGGCGGAAUAGGCAGACGCGCACGACUCAAAAUCGUGUUCCCUUCGGGAAUGAGGGUUCGAUUCCCUCCUUCGGCA
rnacentral:tRNA from 1 species